UAGGCGUAAAUGAUGCGAGUUAAGUGUGGGGGCGAUCUACGAGAUGGCCCUCGUGCUGUAGGGUAGCCGUUAAACUCGCUGCCUGGGGAGGUACGGUCGCAAGGCUGAAACUUAAAGGAAUUGGCGGGGGGAGGCACCACAAGAGGUGGAGGCUGCGGUUCAAUUGGACUCAACGCCGGAAAACUACAUCGGGAGCGACAGCAACAUGAAGGCCAGGCUGAAGAACUUUGCCGGAUUAGCUGAGAGGAGGUGCAUGGCGUAGACGUCU
rnacentral:rRNA from 1 species